rnacentral:rRNA from 1 species
GACGAACGCUGGCGGCGUGCCUAAUACAUGCAAGUUGAGCGCUGAAGGUUGGUACUUGUACCGACUGGAUGAGCAGCGAACGGGUGAGUAACGCGUGGGGAAUCUGCCUUUGAGCGGGGGACAACAUUUGGAAACGAAUGCUAAUACCGCAUAAAAACUUUAAACACAAGUUUUAAGUUUGAAAGAUGCAAUUGCAUCACUCAAAGAUGAUCCCGCGUUGUAUUAGCUAGUUGGUGAGGUAAAGGCUCACCAAGGCGAUGAUACAUAGCCGACUUGAGAGGGUGAUCGGCCACAUUGGGACUGAGACACGGCCCAAACUCCUACGGGAGGCAGCAGUAGGGAAUCUUCGGCAAUGGACGAAAGUCUGACCGAGCAACGCCGCGUGAGUGAAGAAGGUUUUCGGAUCGUAAAACUCUGUUGGUAGAGAAGAACGUUGGUGAGAGUGGAAAGCUCAUCAAGUGACGGUAACUACCCAGAAAGGGACGGCUAACUACGUG